rnacentral:lncRNA from 13 species
GGAGAGAGAGAGCAGUGUUUUGAAGACUGCUGACUAGCACACGACAAAAGUAGGUUGUCUUGUCUGGGUGUUUUAAUGCGAUGUUUUACUAACGCUGUUGUUACCUCCUUCAACAGCGCUGGAAUGCUCAUGAAAGCGGAACGGAAGAGUACGAGGCAGAAGGCCAGCUGCACCUGUGGAACCCUGAUGAACCCUCUACCCCACGAGGCUCUAACACACCCCUCUCAGACCACCAGGAGGAGAGGUUUCGGGAGGCCUGCGAGGAGCUGGCCAUGCCCUGGGAUGGAUGUGCCAGCCACCAUGAGCUACUGGCUCUCUGUGACCACCUGGGCCUGGAGGUGACGGAGGAUGUCCUCCAGGUUCUAAGUGGUGAUGAGGUCAUGAGCGUUCAGGCGUUUACUUCCUGGGUUCUGAACCAUGCCAAGCCCCCCACCCCGUCUGCCUCCACACCUUACAGACAGCUCAAAAGACUACACUCCUCACAGGUACAGUGAAGCUCACCAUUUUAGGUCUAGUUCUCAUGUCAAAGCUAGACAUCGGUACCACAUUUUAGUGAUUUUUUUCCAAACUCCUGAUUUACAUUUUUUUUUAAAACAUGCUGGGAACAAUUAUUGAAUGAAUGUACUAACAAAUGAAUGAAUCAAUUAUUGAAUGAAUUAACUAACAAGUGAAUGAAUCAAUUAUUGAAUGAAUGUACUAACAAAUGAAUGAAUCAAUUAUUGAAUGAAUUAACUAACAAGUGAAUGAAUCAAUUAUUGAAUGAAUGAACUAACAAAUGAAUGAAUCAAUUAUUGAAUGAAUUAACUAACAAAUGAAUGAAUCAAUUAUUGAAUGAAUUAA